AGAUACCCUGUUAUACUAAAUUAAAAAUAUAUUAAAUCUUGAGUAGUAAAAAUUAAUUUGUUUAAAAUUCAAAGAGUUUGGCGGUAUUUUAGUCCUGUUAGAGGAAUCUGUUUUAUAAACGAUAACCCACGUAAUAUCUUUCUUAUUUUGGUUAUAAUUAGUAUACCGUCAUUAUUAGAUAAUUUUAUUUUGAUAGAAAUUAUUGUAAUUAAUCAAGUUAAAUAUAUUAGAUCAUGGUGCUGUUAAUAAAUAAGUAAAAAUGGAUUACAAUAAAUUUAAUUUAUAACGAAUCUGCUAAAUGAAAAGUUUUUGCGGUGAAGGUGGAUUUAAUAGUAAUGUAAGUUUAAUAAGCUUAGGUGAGAUUGGCUCUAAAAUGUGUACAUA
rnacentral:rRNA from 1 species